rnacentral:rRNA from 1 species
UACGAAGGGUGCAAGCGUUGCUCGGAAUUAUUGGGCGUAAAGCGCGCGUAGGCGGCUUGGCAAGUCGGAUGUGAAAUCCCUCGGCUCAACCAAGGAAGUGCAUCCGAAACUGCUGAGCUUGAGUACUCAAGAGGCUCGCGGAAUUCCCGGUGUAGAGGUGAAAUUCGUAGAUAUCGGGAGGAACACCAGUGGCGAAGGCGGCGAGCUGGGAAGAUACUGACGCUGAGGUGCGAAAGCGUGGGGAGCAAACAGG